rnacentral:tRNA from 1 species
CAGAGAAUAGUUUAAUAAAAAUUUUAAUUUUGGAGAUUAAAGAUGAAGAAAUAAUCUUUUUCUCUGA